CCUACGGGAGGCAGCAGUGGGGAAUAUUGCACAAUGGGGGAAACCCUGAUGCAGCGACGCCGCGUGAGUGAAGAUGUAAUUCGUUAUGUAAAGCUCUAUCAGCAGGGAAGAAAAUGACGGUACCUGAGUAAGAAGCCCCUGCUAACUACGUGCCAGCAGCCGCGGUCAUACGUAGGGGGCAAGCGUUAUCCGGAUUUACGGGGUGUAAAGGGAGCGUAGACGGCAGUGCAAGUCUGGAGUGAAAGGCGGGGGCUAAACCCCCGGACUGCUCUGGAAACUGUACGGCUGGAGUGCAGGAGAGGUAAGUGGAAUGCCUAGUGUAGCGGUGAAAUGCGUAGAUAUUAGGAGGAACACCAGUGGCGAAGGCGGCUUACUGGACUGUAACUGACGUUGAGGCUCGAAAGCGUGGGGAGCAAACAGGAUUAGAUACCCCAGUAGUC
rnacentral:rRNA from 1 species